GACGAACGCUGGCGGCGUGCCUAAUACAUGCAAGUUGAGCGCUGAAGGUUGGUACUUGUACCAACGGGAUGAGCAGCGAACGGGUGAGUAACGCGUGGGGAAUCUGCCUUUGAGCGGGGGACAACAUUUGGAAACGAAUGCUAAUACCGCAUAAAAACUUUAAACACAAGUUUUAAGUUUGAAAGAUGCAAUUGCAUCACUCAAAGAUGAUCCCGCGUUGUAUUAGCUAGUUGGUGAGGUAAAGGCUCACCAAGGCGAUGAUACAUAGCCGACCUGAGAGGGUGCUCGGCCACAUUGGGACUGAGACACGGCCCAAACUCCUACGGGAGGCAGCAGUAGGGAAUCUUCGGCAAUGGACGAAAGUCUGACCGAGCAACGCCGCGUGAGUGAAGAAGGUUUUCGGAUCGUAAAACUCUGUUGGUAGAGAAGAACGUUGGUGAGAGUGGAAAGCUCAUCAAGUGACGGUAACUACCCAGAAAGGGACGGCUAACUACGUG
rnacentral:rRNA from 1 species